rnacentral:rRNA from 1 species
CGCCACCCGCCACUAAGGCGUGGUGGCCAAAGGGGGCCUCUGGCCUUUGGCCAUGCUCCCGCCUGGGGAUGGGCCCGCGGCCCAUCAGGUAGUUGGUGGGGUAACGGCCCACCAAGCCUAUGACGGGUAGCCGGCCUGAGAGGGUGGCCGGCCACAGCGGGACUGAGACACGGCCCGCACCCCUACGGGGGGCAGCAGUGGGGAAUCGUGGGCAAUGGGCGAAAGCCUGACCCCGCGACGCCGCGUGGGGGAUGAAGCCCUGCGGGGUGUAAACCCCUGUCGGGGGGGACGAUGCGGAUACGGGUUAAUAGCCCGUGUCCGUGACGGUACCCCCAGAGGAAGGGACGGCAUAACUACGUGCCAGCAGCCGCGGUAAUACGUAGGUCCCAAGCGUUGCGCGAAGUCACUGGGCGUAAAGCGUCCGCAGCCGGUCGGGUAAGCGGGAUGUCAAAGCCCACGGCUCAAGCCGUGGAACGGCAUCCCGAACUGCCCGACUUGAGGCACGUCCCGGGCAGGCGGAAUUCCCGGGGUAGCGGUGAAAUGCGUAGAUCUCGGGAGGAAUCACCGAAGGGGAAGCCAGCCUGCUGGGGCUGUCCUGACGGU